rnacentral:rRNA from 1 species
CGGUGGGGAUUAGUGGCGAACGGGUGAGUAACACGUGGGCAAUCUGCCCUGCACUCUGGGACAAGCCCUGGAAACGGGGUCUAAUACCGGAUAUGACCCUCGCAGGCAUCUGUGAGGGUGUAAAGCUCCGGCGGUGCAGGAUGAGCCCGCGGCCUAUCAGCUUGUUGGUGAGGUAAUGGCUCACCAAGGCGACGACGGGUAGCCGGCCUGAGAGGGCGACCGGCCACACUGGGACUGAGACACGGCCCAGACUCCUACGGGAGGCAGCAGUGGGGAAUAUUGCACAAUGGGCGAAAGCCUGAUGCAGCGACGCCGCGUGAGGGAUGACGGCCUUCGGGUUGUAAACCUCUUUCAGCAGGGAAGAAGCGAAAGUGACGGUACCUGCAGAAGAAGCGCCGGCUAACUACGUGCCAGCAGCCGCGGUAAUACGUAGGGCGCAAGCGUUGUCCGGAAUUAUUGGGCGUAAAGAGCUCGUAGGCGGCUUGUCGCGUCGGUUGUGAAAGCCCGGGGCUUAACCCCGGGUCUGCAGUCGAUACGGGCAGGCUAGAGUUCGGUAGGGGAGAUCGGAAUUCCUGGUGUAGCGGUGAAAUGCGCAGAUAUCAGGAGGAACACCGGUGGCGAAGGCGGAUCUCUGGGCCGAUACUGACGCUGAGGAGCGAAAGCGUGGGGAGCGAACAGGAUUAGAUACCCUGGUAGUCCACGCCGUAAACGGUGGGCACUAGGUGUGGGCGACAUUCCACGUCGUCCGUGCCGCAGCUAACGCAUUAAGUGCCCCGCCUGGGGAGUACGGCCGCAAGGCUAAAACUCAA